rnacentral:miRNA from 1 species
UAGGGGGACUAGUCAUUCUGGUUUGCUUGGGACUGAGGGGUUCCUAGGAUGUGGAACUUCCAGGGCUAAAUGCUG